AUGCAGUCGAGCGGACAGAUGGGAGCUUGCUCCCUGAUGUUAGCGGCGGACGGGUGAGUAACACGUGGGUAACCUGCCUGUAAGACUGGGAUAACUCCGGGAAACCGGGGCUAAUACCGGAUGGUUGUCUGAACCGCAUGGUUCAGACAUAAAAGGUGGCUUCGGCUACCACUUACAGAUGGACCCGCGGCGCAUUAGCUAGUUGGUGAGGUAACGGCUCACCAAGGCGACGAUGCGUAGCCGACCUGAGAGGGUGAUCGGCCACACUGGGACUGAGACACGGCCCAGACUCCUACGGGAGGCAGCAGUAGGGAAUCUUCCGCAAUGGACGAAAGUCUGACGGAGCAACGCCGCGUGAGUGAUGAAGGUUUUCGGAUCGUAAAGCUCUGUUGUUAGGGAAGAACAAGUGCCGUUCAAAUAGGGCGGCACCUUGACGGUACCUAACCAGAAAGCCACGGCUAACUACGUGCCAGCAGCCGCGGUAAUACGUAGGUGGCAAGCGUUGUCCGGAAUUAUUGGGCGUAAAGGGCUCGCAGGCGGUUUCUUAAGUCUGAUGUGAAAGCCCCCGGCUCAACCGGGGAGGGUCAUUGGAAACUGGGGAACUUGAGUGCAGAAGAGGAGAGUGGAAUUCCACGUGUAGCGGUGAAAUGCGUAGAGAUGUGGAGGAACACCAGUGGCGAAGGCGACUCUCUGGUCUGUAACUGACGCUGAGGAGCGAAAGCGUGGGGAGCG
rnacentral:rRNA from 2 species